AUGAGAGGUGUUAGGGACGAGGUGAGAUGGAGCAGGGCAAAGUCAGCGUGUUCCACACUGCUGCUGGUUUGCACGGGCUGUGGGCUCUGCUG
rnacentral:SRP_RNA from 14 species